rnacentral:rRNA from 1 species
GAUGAACGCCGGCGGCGUGCCCAAUACAUGCAAGUCGAGCGAACGGACGAGAAGCUUGCUUCUCUGAUGUUAGCGGCGGACGGGUGAGUAACACGUGGAUAACCUACCUAUAAGACUGGGAUAACUUCGGGAAACCGUAGCUAAUACCGGAUAAUAUUUUGAACCGCAUGGUUCAAAAGUGAAAGACGGUCUUGCUGUCACUUAUAGAUGGAUCCGCGCUGCAUUAGCUAGUUGGUAAGGUAACGGCUUACCAAGGCAACGAUGCAUAGCCGACCUGAGAGGGUGAUCGGCUACACUGGAACUGAGACACGGUCCAGACUCCUACGGGAGGCAGCAGUAGGGAAUCUUCCGCAAUGGGCGAAAGCCUGACGGAGCAACGCCGCGUGAGUGAUGAAGGUCUUCGGAUCGUAAAACUCUGUUAUUAGGGAAGAACAUAUGUGUAAGUAACUGUGCACAUCUUGACGGUACCUAAUCAGAAAGCCACGGCUAACUACGUG